rnacentral:rRNA from 1 species
CGGUUGAUCCUACCGGACCCUACCGCUAUCGGGGUAGGACUAAGACAUGCGAGUCGAGCGCCUCCCAAGUGCACUGUUGUAGAGACGCGGCGCACGUCUCAGUAACACGUGGCUAACCUACCCUUAGGACGGGUAUAACCCCGGGAAACUGGGGCUAAUACCCGAUAGGUGAGGAAGCCUGGAAUGGUUCCUCACCGAAAAGACGUCGAAACCAUGCUUUUCGACGUCGCCUAAGGAUGGGGCCGCGUCCGAUCAGGCUGUUGGUGAGGUAACGGCUCACCAAGCCUAUAACCGGUACGGGCCGUGAGAGCGGGAGCCCGGAGAUGGGCACUGAGACAAGGGCCCAGGCCCUACGGGGCGCAGCAGUCGCGAAAACUCCGCAAUGCGCGAAAGCGCAACGGGGCUACCCCGAGUGCCGUCCGCUGAGGAUGGCUUUUCCCCGGUGUAAUGAGCCGGAGGAAUAAGGAGAGGGCAAGUCUGGUGUCAGCCGCCGCGGUAAUACCAGCUCUCCGAGUGGUAGGGAUGAUUAUUGGGCCUAAAGCGUCCGUAGCCGGCCUAGCAAGUCUCCUGUUAAAUUCAGCGACCUAAUCGUUGAGCCGCAGGAGAUACUGCUAGGCUAGGAGGCGGGAGAGGCCGACGGUACUCUUGGGGUAGGGGUGAAAUCCUAUAAUCCCAGGAGGACCACCAGUGGCGAAGGCUGUCGGCUAGAACGCGCUCGACGGUGAGGGACGAAAGCUGGGGGAGCAAACCGGAUUAGAUACCCGGGUAGUCCCAGCUGUAAACGAUGCGGGCUAGGUGUUGGGGUGGCUACGAGCCACCCCAGUGCCGCAGGGAAGCCAUUAAGCCCGCCGCCUGGGGAGUACGGCCGCAAGGCUGAAACUUAAAGGAAUUGGCGGGGGAGCAC